rnacentral:rRNA from 1 species
GACGAACGCUGGCGGCGUGCUUAACACAUGCAAGUCGAACGGAAAGGCCCUGCUUUUGUGGGGUGCUCGAGUGGCGAACGGGUGAGUAACACGUGAGUAACCUGCCCUUGACUUUGGGAUAACUUCAGGAAACUGGGGCUAAUACCGGAUAGGAGCUCCUGCUGCAUGGUGGGGGUUGGAAAGUUUCGGCGGUUGGGGAUGGACUCGCGGCUUAUCAGCUUGUUGGUGGGGUAGUGGCUUACCAAGGGUUUGACGGGUAGCCGGCCUGAGAGGGUGACCGGCCACAUUGGGACUGAGAUACGGCCCAGACUCCUACGGGAGGCAGGAGUGGGGAAUAUUGCACAGUGGGCGGAAGCCUGAUGCAGCAACGCCGCGUGCGGGAUGACGGCCUUCGGGUUGUAAACCGCUUUCGCCUGUGACGAAGCGUGAGUGACGGUAAUGGGUAAAGAAGCACCGGCUAACUACGU